AACGAACGCUGGCGGCAGGCCUAACACAUGCAAGUCGAACGCUGUAGCAAUACAGAGUGGCAGACGGGUGAGUAACGCGUGGGAACAUUCCCAGUGGUACGGAAUAGCUCAGGGAAACUUGGGGUAAUACCGUAUACGCCCUUCGGGGGAAAGAUUUAUCGCCAUUGGAUUGGCCCGCGUUGGAUUAGCUAGUUGGUGAGGUAACGGCUCACCAAGGCGACGAUCCAUAGCUGGUUUGAGAGAAUGACCAGCCACACUGGGACUGAGACACGGCCCAGACUCCUACGGGAGGCAGCAGUGGGGAAUCUUGGACAAUGGGGGCAACCCUGAUCCAGCCAUGCCGCGUGAGUGACGAAGGCCUUCGGGUUGUAAAGCUCUUUUGACGGGGACGAUAAUGACGGUACCCGUAGAAUAAGUCCCGGCUAACUUCGUGCCAGCCGCCGCCGUAAAAC
rnacentral:rRNA from 1 species